AAUUUCGAGCCUUCUCCUUGAGAGACCUGGCCAGGCCUUGAUCUGCUGACCAUCAAUGCUGCCUGGAACAACCAUUCUGAUUGAGGUUCCAGCCUCAGCACCUGGGUUAAGGCCCUCCUGGUGACCCGCCCAGUUUAGACUCCAUGGAUGCCAAUCGGAAGGAGAAUGUGCCACCCUGGCCAGGAGGCCACAUGAAUUCAGGACAACGGUCGGUUCAGAAAAAGCUGAAUAUCAAUUUCUCUGUGGGCAAUGAUCAAAAAACUGUGUUGUCGUCUUGCCCAAUGGAACUGGGGCCAGGCCACAAGUUGGAGCUGGGGAGGCCUAUGGUCAGCAACCUUGACAGAAGGCAGCUGUCCACCUUGGUUCAGACCAACUUGCCUCCUUCUGGGCAGCCCCUGCAAGAUGCCACGAGGAUGGUGAGUAACCCCUGCUUUGAGCAACAAAGCAAUCUGCACGCCUGGGCCUGGAGGCUGAAGCCAUCUGAGAAGCAGAGAGCGAUUUUCUUCAAGCAAAACAACAUGAAUCUGAGCAGAGAAGACCCAGAGAGGAGAGGGGGGAACAGGAACCCCCUGAACCUAGAAGGGCCAGACAGGAGACUGUUGAAUUGCUCAAGGGAUCUCCUGCAGCCCCCACGAUCUCAAAGUGCUCCUUGGUCCUCCAAGCUAAGCAGCCAGACCCAUAGGCACCCAUUUCUAAGGGACCGACCAUCAUCUUCACUCCCUGGCUUUGGAAAUUCUUUGAAGAUCUCGCCAAAAGCCACAAAAGUUCAGGGCUCUGAAUCAAACCCUUUCCCUCAGUCUGGGCAUAACCAUCAUCCUGCCCAACCCAGCCAAAGACCGAAUUGCUGGGCCCCAAACCCCACGGGACGAGCCUUCUCCUUGGAAGACCUCCCAGGCCAGUGUCAGCAAUCGGCUCACCCCCUAAUCAUGGGGCCCAGCACUGAGCUUUCCCCAGAAUUGGCUCGUUUGCUCUUGUCCAGGAGAUGCCGUGAAUACCCAGAAAUGCUCCACCUAUUCAAGGCUUCCCAGGAGCCCUUCAGACCCUGUGGACCUUGGCCCGUCUCGAACCAGGCCACUUCUUCAGAUAAGACAUCAGAGCACCCCAGCCCCCAUACCCAGUCCUGCAGAGCUGUGACUCUAGAGGCCACCCCCAGCCUGAUACCAGGGCAUCCCAGCCCUCUCACUCUCUCCAACGGCACUAUGAUACCCAGAUGUCACAAUCCUCUCACUCUUUCCCCUGGGGCUAUGAAUUUGGAGGACUCCCCAAACUUUUCAUCAAUGUUCCCCAAAUGCAGACCUCUGUUACCUAGGUCAAUGAAUACAGAGUCCUACUCAAACCUGUUACUAUGUUACCGUAACCCCCAUCCAUGCUCCAGCAAGGCUGGGAAUCCAGAGGCCCCCCCAAAUCUGAAACCAGGGUACCCUGGCCCUCAUCCAUACUCUAACAGUUCUGGGAGUCCAGAAGCUUCCCCUAACCCCAUCAUUCUCUCUCCUAACAUUGUAAGUCCAAAGGCCCCCCCAAAUCUGACACCAGGGUAUCCUAGCCCUCCUCCUUUUCCCCUUAGACCAAUGUCUCCAGAAGCCUCCCCAAGUCUGACAGCAGGGUAUCCCAACCUCCACACUUUCUCUAAUAAGACUGAGGCUCCAGAGGCCUCCCCCAACCCCAUGCCAGGGUCUUCUCUCUUUACUCUCCCCUACCAUGCUGCUACUACAGAGGUCUAUCCCACUCUCCUAUCAGAGCAUCCCAACUUCCAUACUCUCUCCAGCAAAGUUAUGACCCCAAAGGUCUCACCCAAUCUGACACAGGAGUUUCCCAGCCCCAAUUCUCCAUCCAGCAGAAUUAGGGCAUCAGAAACUCCCCUAAGGUUGACCCCCGAGAACCUCGGCCCUUUUACUCUCUUUAGCAGUAUUGCAACUCCAGAGGUCUCCCCGAAGCUGACAGUAAGGUACCCCAAUCCUUUUACUCUUUCCGGCAGUCCUGAGAAUCCAGAGGCCUCCCCCAACCUGAUCCCAAGGUACUUCAGCCCCUUUUCCAUCUCAAGAAGGCUGUAGCCCCUGAAGUCUCCCCCAGCCUGACGCCAGAAAACCCCUAUCCCCUUACUAUCUCCCUGAGUCUCUAUUUCCUGAGGCCUCCCCCAGGCAGACCCCAGGUUUUCCUAACCUCCCUGGCACCUCUAGCCCCAUCCUGACACCAGAAUACCCCAGCCCCAUUACUCUUCCCCGGAAUACUUGGAUACCGAGGUACCUUCCCUCCUCCAGUCUCUCCCAUAAUAUUGUGACUCCAGAAUUCCCCCACAGAACGUCAAAGCGUCCCAGCUUCCCUCUGACUUCCUUAGGCCUUCAGCAGCCCAACACCAGGGUACCCGAGGCCCCUUCUUCUCUCCACAGAGCUGGGACUCCAGAAGCCUCCCCAACGCUGCUGACCCUGAGGCGCCCUCAAGGUGUGCAGCCGUUCACCAGGGCCUUUGGCAUGCCCGAAAAACAGGGCAGGGACGAGGGCCCUGGUUGCAGGGAGCUGGGUGACUUCAGCCUCCUCUCCUCCAGCAGCGGGCCAGCCGAGACGGCCCCUAGCUGCUCCUCCGGGACCAGCGGGAUGAAUAUCUUCAGGCCUGUCAACCCAGCCUCCUCUCAGUCUGAUGACUCUAUGGUGGCUCUCCCCUUAGCAGCUUCCCAAUCCUUUCCUCCAUGGAGGGCCCCGGGCCUAGGGGACCCCCACCAGGCCGUGCCAGCCUCCCCUGAAAGGUCCUCCCGGCCCAUGGCGGGGAUGUUGACUUGUUUGCCGAGCUCCCGUGUGGACAGAGGCCAGGAAAUGGUGGAGCCCCAGCUGGAGGGACAUCUACAGAAAAUCUGGGAGAUCCUCACGUCCCUGGUUCCCCAGGUCACAAAUACCCCUCACCCAGGCCCUGUGAAAGGUCCUGUUCUUCCUACCCACUGGGGAAGCCCAAAAGAGGAGACCUCUUCGGAAUCUGAGGGUGGGCCUGGCCCCGGUUUCCAGAAUGCCGCCUAUGCGCCCCACCUCUCAGGGCAAAGAGGCAGAGCAGGCCCAAGAAAUUAUUUUUCAGCCUCCUCUUCUCCUGGGGGGCAUUUCCCGCCCCAGCAGCGGUCCAGAGGGGCUCCAAGGCCCAACAAACAGAGGGGUCCCUGGAUGGAUCCGGGCAUUGCCAGGAACCUUGGAGCAAGAAGCUGGAAUAGGAGUGACCUACACCUGGCCGCCGCCGGGGCCUCCCAGCUGGAUCUGGCACAAGAAGAGGUCAGAAGGGCAAUGGGGGAUGAUGGCUCCUGGAGCCCAGGGCUGCCACCCCUGGGAUCCCGGGUUUCCUGCCUGGCCUUUCCCCUCUGAGGGGGCAGAGAGGAAGGCUUCCUAGAGAAAGCUGCUUGAAUGACAAAAGGGAAUGACUCUGAAGGAUGGCCAAAGACCCAUGGCCUGGUCCGGCUGAAGAGUCCUCUGAGGGCUGGAGAAUGGAAGGGGGUGGGAAUGUCCCCGCCAUCACAAACGGCUCAGGCCCCCAAGCCUUUCCCCUGGUUCUAGAGUGGGGGGGGGGCCUCAGAGGCCAGAGUCCGAGCCCAUGGAAAGGAACUGGCCCAAGGUCGCCCAGGGAGGAGCUAGGAUUCAAACCCAGGCUCUCCUUGAGCCUUCUUUUCACCAUUCGGCGUCACUUGGCCGUCCAAAUUGCCCCAUCGCUGUCUGCUUUCUUUUUUUCCUGCUCUGGCUUUUGUUUCUUCCUAUUUCCCACAGGCUAUCUUUGUUUUAAGCCGAGUUAUUUACUCAUGUAGAAAAAAGCAAUUUUAUAUUAUUACAUAUUAGAACUAUGUGAUCUAAAUCAUCUCAAAAGUAGCUGUAUGGCUCAAUGGACUGAGCAGUAGGCCUGGAAACAGGAAGUGCCGAGUUCCCAUGGGCCUCAGACACAGCUGUGGGACUCUGGGCAAAUCACCGAACCUCUGCCUCAGUUAGCUCAUCUGUAAAUAGGGAUAAUAAAGCACUUACCUCCCAGGGUUGCCGGGAUCA
ensembl:lncRNA